rnacentral:rRNA from 1 species
AUUGAACGCUGGCGGCAUGCCUUACACAUGCAAGUCGAACGGUAACAGCACUUCGGUGGCUGACGAGUGGCGAACGGGUGAGUAAUACAUCGGAACGUGCCCGAGAGUGGGGGAUAACGCAGCGAAAGCUGUGCUAAUACCGCAUACGAUCUACGGAUGAAAGCAGGGGACCGCAAGGCCUUGCGCUCAUGGAGCGGCCGAUGGCAGAUUAGGUAGUUGGUGGGAUAAAAGCUUACCAAGCCGACGAUCUGUAGCUGGUCUGAGAGGACGACCAGCCACACUGGGACUGAGACACGGCCCAGACUCCUACGGGAGGCAGCAGUGGGGAAUUUUGGACAAUGGGGGAAACCCUGAUCCAGCCAUGCCGCGUGCAGGAUGAAGGCCUUCGGGUUGUAAACUGCUUUUGUACGGAACGAAAAGGUCUUUUCUAAUAAAGAAGGCUCAUGACGGUACCGUAAGAAUAAGCACCGGCUAACUACGUG